rnacentral:lncRNA from 11 species
CAAUACAUUACGUUAUGUAAGUUUUUUAUAAAUUUACAAGAAUCUUUGUGCAAGGAUUGUUUACAUUAGUCACGUAAUUUUAUGAACAAUCUGGUAUUAUGAAACGUGGCUUAGAAGGAAGAUUGAAGUCAAUACAGUCAGCUGUAUUUUACGUGAUUACAUCAUAUUAGUGUGCAUAGUUGCGAAGCAUACAUAUCAGUCUCCAAAAAGUUUAAUGGAGAUAGCCAGAGUCUUUCAAGUUCUUAGGAAAUACUGGUUUGUAACAUUCAUCCCAUCCUGUACUAUACUUGCUAUUUGUGCAGAUUUGAGACAUACAUAUUUGUGGAAGAAACAAUUAGCUGCAGAGGGGAAAUUAAAAUCAAACAUUUAGAAUGUCACCAUUAUCACCAAUUACACAACAAGCUAUAGCAACUGUUGGUCUUUUAUGUGUAAUAUUUACUUCUCGCCAACUUUACAACUAUAGCUCUGGGUUAUUUAUGAGUGACUAUCGUGAUAAAUCAGCUUUAUUUGGAAGAGAAUUAAAACCCGGAGAACCUCCAUCUUGGCCAUGAACACUCUUAUGCUAUAUUAUAUAUAAUAUAUUAGUUGUCUUCUAAGUACAUCUGUAUUUUAAAGAUAACUAUAUGUAUACAAAAUAAUAAAUUAGUGAGAGGAAAUAAUAAAUCAUGUAAGUUA